AAUAAGCUUAGUUACACCGUUUGGUGGAUGGCUUGGCUUGAGAAACCGAGGAAGGUCGUGGCAAGCUGCGAUAUGCUCAGGGGAGGCGCACGCAUCCUUUGAUCCUGAGAUUACCUAAUGGGACUUCCUUCAUUCUUCGGAAUGACAUCACUUCGUGAUGGGGAACCCGGUGAACUGAAACAUCUUAGUAACCGGAGGAAAAGAUAUCAAUUGAUAUGCCGUGAGUAAUGGCGAACGAAAGCGGUAUAGGGCAAACCGAAUCCGUGCAGGUGACUGUAUGGAGAUGUGGCUGACUAGUGUACUGGUCUGAGAGUUUUGGCGAAGUUUUUUGGAACAUUAUGCCAAAGAGGGUGAUAGCCCCGUAGUUAAAACUUGAAGAGUAGAUUGCUAGCAUCGAGAGUAGCGUGUUUUGAAAGUAGCGCGUGAAUACAGGGGACAGUAACCUCUAACCCUAAACAUUUCUCAAGACCGAUAGCGAAUUAGUAGCGUGAGUGAAUGCUGAAAAGAUCCCGUACAAGGGAGUGAAAAGAUCCUAAAAUCAAAAGGUUACAGUUAGUAGCGGCACUAAGGUGUUGCUACGUUCGUU
rnacentral:rRNA from 1 species